GGGAGGCCAAUUAAGAUAAAUCCAAAGUAUGGUGCAGCUACAGAUGUCCCUGUGUCUGCUGUUCAGGAAAAUGCAGGAUCCAGUAUGCAGACUGCACAGCAAGUGUGCAGACAAAUCCCUGUGUCUGCUGUUCAGGAAAAUGCAAGAACAGUU